GCCUGGUGUGGUGGCGCAUGCCUGUAAUCCCAGUGCCUUGGGAGGCUGAGGCAGGAGGAUUGAGAGUUCAAAGCCAGACGCAGCAAAAACAAGUUGCUAAGCAACUCAGCGAGAACCUGUCUCUG
rnacentral:sRNA from 1 species